rnacentral:pre_miRNA from 1 species
AAAAGUGCUUACAGUGCAGGUAGUAUUCUGUACCUACUGCAAUGGAAGCACUUGCAG